rnacentral:rRNA from 1 species
AUUGAACGCUGGCGGCAUGCCUUACACAUGCAAGUCGAACGGCAGCACGGGGGCAACCCUGGUGGCGAGUGGCGAACGGGUGAGCAAUGCAUCGGAACGUGCCCAGUAGUGGGGGAUAACUAGUCGAAAGAUUAGCUAAUACCGCAUACGACCUAUGGGUGAAAGCGGGGGAUUCGCAAGAACCUCGCGCUAUCGGAGCGGCCGAUGUCUGAUUAGCUAGNGGCGGGGUAAAGACCCACCAAGGCUUCGAUCAGUAGCUGGUCUGAGAGGACGACCAGCCACACUGGGACUGAGACACGGCCCAGACUCCUACGGGAGGCAGCAGUGGGGAAUUUUGGACAAUGGGCGCAAGCCUGAUCCAGCCAUGCCGCGUG